rnacentral:rRNA from 1 species
UACGAAGGGGGCAAGCGUUGUUCGGAAUUACUGGGCGUAAAGGGCGCGUAGGCGGCCGAUCAAGUCAGGCGUGAAAUCCCCAGGCUCAACCUGGGAACUGCGUCCGAUACUGGAUGGCUUGAAUCCGGGAGAGGGAUGCAGAAUUCCAGGUGUAGCGGUGAAAUGCGUAGAUAUCUGGAGGAAUACCGGUGGCGAAGGCGGCAUCCUGGACCGGCAUUGACGCUGAGGAGCGAAAGCCAGGGGAGCAAACGGG